rnacentral:rRNA from 1 species
AGUAUAAAUAACUACACAGUAAAACUGCGAAUGGCUCAUUAAAACAGUUAUAGUUUAUUUGAUACAAUASAUGGAUAACUGUASAAAAACUAKAGCUAAUACAUGCCAUAACCGUAAGGUUGUAUUUAUUAGAUAUACCAAUUUGGUGAAUCAUAAUAACUUUGCAAAUCGCGACUAUGUCGUGAUAAAUCAUUCAAGUUUCUGCCCUAUCAUGCUUUCSAUGGUAGUGUAUUGGACUACCMUGGCUUUCMCGGGUAASGGGGAAUUAKGGUUCGAUUCCGGAGAAGGAGCCUGAGAAACRGCUACUACAUCUWASGAAGGCAGCASGCGCGUAAAUUACCCAAUCCUGACUCARGGAGGUAGKGACAARAUAUAACSACKCSACCMAAAUCGCGAUUGURRUGAGGGUAUUCCAAACCGAACCACUASUACKAUUGGAGGGCAAGUCUGGUGCCAGCAGCCKCGGUAAUUCCAGCUCCAAUASCGUAUAUUAAAGUUGUUGCAGUUAAAAAGCUCGUAGUUGGAU